CCAGAAAGUUAUGAUACCCACUUCCUCUGAGUGCUAGCAGCCAAGAGCCAGAAGCACGAGAAGUUCCUUUCCAGAAACUGAGGAUAAAUUCCAGAAGCAGUCACAGGAGACUAAAUGCCUGAGAUAAAACAGAAGGCUAACAGAAGACAAUGUGAUGACAAACCAGAGAAACAGAGAGGAAGACAUUUGAAAAUGCUACACUGCUCCCUUUGAAGAUGGAAGACAGGGUCAUGAGCCAAGAGAUGCAGGUGGCCUCUGGAAGCUGGAAAAGGCAAGGAAACAGAUUCUCCCCUGGAGCCUCCAAAAGGAACCAGCCCUGUCAUCACUUUGAUCUUAGCCCAGUGAAACUGACUUUGGACUUUUGGCCUCCAGAACUGAAAGAGAAUACACCUGUGUUGAUUUAAGCCACUACAUUUAUGGUGAUUUGUUACAGCAGCCACAGGAAACGAAUGCAACUACUGUACCAGCC